UAGGGAAUCUUCCACAAUGGACGCAAGUCUGAUGGAGCAACGCCGCGUGAGUGAAGAAGGUUUUCGGAUCGUAAAGCUCUGUUGUUGGUGAAGAAGGAUAGAGGUAGUAACUGGCCUUUAUUUGACGGUAAUCAACCAGAAAGUCACGGCUAACUACGUGCCAGCAGCCGCGGUAAUACGUAGGUGGCAAGCGUUGUCCGGAUUUAUUGGGCGUAAAGCGAGCGCAGGCGGAAGAAUAAGUCUGAUGUGAAAGCCCUCGGCUUAACCGAGGAACUGCAUCGGAAACUGUUUUUCUUGAGUGCAGAAGAGGAGAGUGGAACUCCAUGUGUAGCGGUGGAAUGCGUAGAUAUAUGGAAGAACACCAGUGGCGAAGGCGGCUCUCUGGUCUGCAACUGACGCUGAGGCUCGAAAGCAUGGGUAGCGAACAGGAUUAGAUACCCUGGUAGUCCAUGCCGUAAACGAUGAGUGCUAAGUGUUGGGAGGUUUCCGCCUCUCAGUGCUGCAGCUAACGCAUUAAGCACUCCGCCUGGGGAGUACGACCGCAAGGUUGAAACUCAAAGGAAUUGACGGGGGCCCGCACAAGCGGUGGAGCAUGUGGUUUAAUUCGAAGCAACGCGAAGAACCUUACCAGGUCUUGACAUCUAGUGCCAUUUGUAGAGAUACAAAGUUCCCUUCGGGGACGCUAAGACAGGUGGUGCAUGGCUGUCGUCAGCUCGUGUCGUGAGAUGUUGGGUUAAGUCCCGCAACGAGCGCAACCCUUGUUAUUAGUUGCCAGCAUUAAGUUGGGCACUCUAAUGAGACUGCCGGUGACAAACCGGAGGAAGGUGGGGAUGACGUCAAGUCAUCAUGCCCCUUAUGACCUGGGCUACACACGUGCUACAAUGGGCAGUACAACGAGAAGCGAGCCUGCGAAGGCAAGCGAAUCUCUGAAAGCUGUUCUCAGUUCGGACUGCAGUCUGCAACUCGACUGCACGAAGCUGGAAUCGCUAGUAAUCGCGGAUCAGCACGCCGCGGUGAAUACGUUCCCGGGCCU
rnacentral:rRNA from 1 species